UCUGGUGACGAUGGCGGAGAGGUCACACCCGUUCCCAUCCCGAACACGGAAGUUAAGCUCUCCAGCGCCGAUGGUACUUGGGACGUUGGUCCCUGGGAGAGUAGGACGUCGCCGGAU
rnacentral:rRNA from 1 species